rnacentral:rRNA from 1 species
UCCGUAGGUGAACCUGCGGAAGGAUCACUAAAGUAAACGCCCUCCGGGGCUCUCUUUAUUCACACACCCCUGUGCACUUUGGCCACCUGCCGCGCUUCACUGCGUUAGUAGGUGUGUCUUUAUAAUUAUACCCAUAUACACAAGUCAUUGAAUGUAAAAUCGUUAUAAACUAAUAUAACUUUCAACAACGGAUCUCUUGGUUCUCGCAUCGAUGAAGAACGCAGCGAAUUGCGAUAAGUAAUGUGAAUUGCAGAAUUCAGUGAAUCAUCGAAUCUUUGAACGCAUCUUGCGCUCUUUGGUAUUCCGAAGAGCAUGCCUGUUUGAGUGUCAUGAAACUCUCACCUCCAGCCUUCUUUAAUUAGAGGUGUUGGGGCGUGGACGUGAGUGCUGCUGGUGCCCUGGUUGCAUCGGCUCACUUGAAAUAUGUUAGCUGACUCCUCUAGAGGUGGUUCUACUCGACGUGAUAAGAUCUCCGUCGAGGACAGUGCAACUUGUUGUGCUGGCCGCUCCUAGCAGUUGACGUCGCUUCUAAUUAGCGCAGACUUCGAGUGCUGGCAACUUUUGACAACUUGGCCUCAAAUCAGGUAGGACUACCCACUGAACUUAAGCAUAUCAAUAAGUGGAGGA